rnacentral:rRNA from 1 species
UACGGAGGGUGCAAGCGUUAUCCGGAUUCACUGGGUUUAAAGGGUGCGUAGGCGGGCAGGUAAGUCAGUGGUGAAAAUCUCAGACGGCUUAACUCCUGAAACUGCCGUUGAUACUAUCUGUCUUGAAUAUUGUGGAGGUAAGCGGAUAUGAUCAUGUAGCGGUAGAAAUGCUAGAUAUGACUAGAACACCUAUUGCGAAGGCAGCUUACUCGACAAUCGAUUGACGCUGGAGGCACGAAAGCGUGAGGAUCAAACAGG